rnacentral:sRNA from 1 species
UCUAUUUCUUGUGUAUUUCCACGAGA